rnacentral:rRNA from 1 species
GAUGAACGCUGGCGGCGUGCCUAAUACAUGCAAGUCGAGCGAACAGACGAGGAGCUUGCUCCUCUGACGUUAGCGGCGGACGGGUGAGUAACACGUGGAUAACCUACCUAUAAGACUGGGAUAACUUCGGGAAACCGGAGCUAAUACCGGAUAAUAUAUUGAACCGCAUGGUUCAAUAGUGAAAGACGGUUUUGCUGUCACUUAUAGAUGGAUCCGCGCCGCAUUAGCUAGUUGGUAAGGUAACGGCUUACCAAGGCGGCGAUGCGUAGCCGACCUGAGAGGGUGAUCGGCCACACUGGAACUGAGACACGGUCCAGACUCCUACGGGAGGCAGCAGUAGGGAAUCUUCCGCAAUGGGCGAAAGCUUGACGGAGCAACGCCGCGUGAGUGAUGAAGGUCUUCGGAUCGUAAAACUCUGUUAUUAGGGAAGAACAAAUGUGUAAGUAACUAUGCACGUCUUGACGGUACCUAAUCAGAAAGCCACGGCUAACUACGUG